rnacentral:rRNA from 1 species
GACGAACGCUGGCGGCGUGCCUAAUACAUGCAAGUAGAACGCACAGUUUAUACCGUAGCUUGCUACACCAUAAACUGUGAGUUGCGAACGGGUGAGUAACGCGUAGGUAACCUGCCUGGUAGCGGGGGAUAACUAUUGGAAACGAUAGCUAAUACCGCAUAAUAUUAAUUAUUGCAUGAUAAUUGAUUGAAAGAUGCAAUUUCAUCACUACCAUAUGGACCUGCGUUGUAUUAGCUAGUAGGUGAGGUAACGGCUCACCUAGGCGACGAUACAUAGCCGACCUGAGAGGGCGAUAGGCCACACUGGGAUUGAGACACGGCCCAGACUCCUAAGGGAGGAAGCAGUAGAGAAUCUUCGGCAAUGGACGAAAGUCUGACCGGGCAACGCCGCGUGAGUGAAGAAGGUUUUCGGAUCGUAAAGCUCUGUUGUAAGGGAAGAACGGGGGUGAGAGUGGAAAGUUCACACUGUGACGGUAUCUGACCAGAAAGGGACGGCUAACUACGUG